ncrna:unclassified sequences raiA RNA
AUGACUCAGGUCUGUGAUUGAAAGGCCAGGCCAGCUACGGGCAAAGGGUCCCACGUAAGCUGAUCCGCAAGGCGGCAGUGAUCAUGGCGUAGUUUAGAAGUAAGUCCUCUGAGAAACUCAGGUAAAGGCAGGUGUGGGGGCAAAGAUCAGGUCAGCUGAGUCAU